AUUCCAGCUCCAAUAGCGUAUAUUAAAGUUGUUGCAGUUAAAAAGCUCGUAGUUGAACUUCUGGCUAUUCUUCCAGCUGGCUUCGGUCGCUGUAAGAGUGGUCAUCCGCUUGGGAACUACGUUCGAACUUCACUGUUCGGCGUAAGGAACAGGCAUUUUACUUAGAAAAAAUUAGAGUGUUCAAGGCAGGCUAUCGCCCUGAAUACACAAGCUUGGAAUAAUGAAAUAGGACUAUUUCCAUUUUAUUGGUUAUUGGAAUUAGUAAUGAUUAAUAGGGACAGUUGGGGACAUUAGUAUUUAAUUGUCAGAGGUGAAAUUCUUGGAUUUAUUAAAGACUAACUUAUGCGGAAGCAUUUGUCAAGGAUGUUUUCAUUA
rnacentral:rRNA from 1 species